UGCAUUCUAAAGCUGGUACCCUCAAGUCUUCUUCCAAUAAACCAAAUGGGAUGCCAAUGGAUUCUAGAAAGCAGCAUGGUGUUAGCAAUGGUAUGGGGCCAGGCCGGCCUGGUGGUGUUAGCAAUGGUAUGGGGCCUGGCCGGCCUGGUGGUGCUAGCAAUGGUACCGGGCCUAGCCGACCUGGUGGUGUAAGCAAUGGUACUGGGCCUGGUCGGCCUGGUGGUGCUAACAGUGGUUCUGUUCCUGGCCGGGCUGGUGCUGCUAGCAAUGGUGCAGGGUCUGGCCGGCCUGUUGGCGCAAGC
rnacentral:lncRNA from 1 species